GACGAACGCUGGCGGCGUGCCUAAUACAUGCAAGUCGAACGCAGUAGGGACGGGUGAGUAACACGUGGGUAACCUUCCAUCAGAGGGGAUAACACUUGGAAACAGGUGCUAAUACGAUACUGAUGGAUGGACACGGGGUGCAUUAGCUAGUGGGUGAGGUAACGGCUCACCAAGGCCACGAGGCAUAGCCGACCUGAGAGUGUGAUCGGCCACACUGGGACUGAGACACGGCCCAGACUCCUACGGGAGGCAGCAGUGGGGAAUCUUCGGCAAUGGACGAAAGUCUGACGGAGCAACGCCGCGUGAGUGAAGAAGGUGUUCGGGUCGUAAAACUCUGUUGUUAGAGAAGCGGUAUCUAACCAGAAAGCAACGGCUAACUGCGUGCCAGCAGCCGCGGUAAUUC
rnacentral:rRNA from 1 species